AGAGUUUGAUCCUGGCUCAGGACGAACGCUGGCGGCGUGCCUAAUACAUGCAAGUAGAACGCUGAAGAGAGGAGCUUGCUCUUCUUGGAUGAGUUGCGAACGGGUGAGUAACGCGUAGGUAACCUGCCUUGUAGCGGGGGAUAACUAUUGGAAACGAUAGCUAAUACCGCAUAACAAUGGAUGACACAUGUCAUUUAUUUGAAAGGGGCAAUUGCUCCACUACAAGAUGGACCUGCGUUGUAUUAGCUAGUAGGUGAGGUAACGGCUCACCUAGGCGACGAUACAUAGCCGACCUGAGAGGGUGAUCGGCCACACUGGGACUGAGACACGGCCCAGACUCCUACGGGAGGCAGCAGUAGGGAAUUUUCGGCAAUGGGGGAAACCCUGACCGAGCAACGCCGCGUGAAGGAAGAAGUAAUUCGUUAUGUAAACUUCUGUCAUAGAGGAAGAACGGUGCGUGUAGGGAAUGACAUGCAAGUGACGGUACUCUAUAAGAAAGCCACGGCUAACUACGUGCCAGCAGCCGCGGUAAUACGUAGGUGGCGAGCGUUAUCCGGAAUUAUUGGGCGUAAAGAGGGAGCAGGCGGCACUAAGGGUCUGUGGUGAAAGAUCGAAGCUUAACUUCGGUAAGCCAUGGAAACCGUAGAGCUAGAGUGUGUGAGAGGAUCGUGGAAUUCCAUGUGUAGCGGUGAAAUGCGUAGAUAUAUGGAGGAACACCAGUGGCGAAGGCGACGAUCUGGCGCAUAACUGACGCUCAGUCCCGAAAGCGUGGGGAGCAAAUAGGAUUAGAUACCCUAGUAGUCCACGCCGUAAACGAUGAGUACUAAGUGUUGGGAGUCAAAUCUCAGUGCUGCAGUUAACGCAAUAAGUACUCCGCCUGAGUAGUACGUUCGCAAGAAUGAAACUCAAAGGAAUUGACGGGGGCCCGCACAAGCGGUGGAGCAUGUGGUUUAA
rnacentral:rRNA from 1 species